GCACGCCCUCCCCCCCCACGCCGGCCUCUUAAAAAUACAUCCCCAACUAAACCAGUUGCAUUUCUCAUGCUUGGAUUUUUCAUCUUUUAAUAAGCAGAUCAAUUGUUACUUUUUAAAACAGCGUGAAAUUCCUUCACACCCAUGUAAAUCUCCCGGUUUUAACUGCAGAUCCAGGGAUGAGGCUGGGGAUGAAACUCGAAUGGGAAAGCCUGAGACGCUUGUGCCUGCAAUGAAAUUAUAAAUCCACAUCCUGGAGCAAACGAGCAGUAGGAGGCAGCCAGAAAUCUCCAUCAGCAGAAGCGCUGGGCUGCAGCAAGGGAUGGAAGUCGCAAGUGGAACCGACAAGACACCCAAGCCAGGAGAGCUGUUGGCAUUUCUCCUGGCAACAUCCCGCACGAAUGGAGCCAAUUGAGUUUCCCCAUCUGUAAAAUGGAGGACACGCUGCCAAACCCUGCUUGAAAACCACUGUCAGAUGCAGAAAAUGUGAGUGAAUUGCUCAGGUGAUGCUCGUCGGCUGUCGUGCAACAGAUCAAGGGCACAGGACAAUCUGCUUCAGGAACCCACGUCCCCUGAGCCCUGUGACCAGCAGGGCUAAUGCCAGCCCAGACUGAGCAGCGAUGAAUGGAAAAAAGCAACAAUUCUGCCCUGGAAGGAAGUCAGUCCUAACAAGGGAAUUGGCCUCUCUCAUCCUCAAAGCCUAAUUAACCAAAUCGUCUGCAUUUGUGGGAGAGGAGAGGGGCAAGUGGGAAGCUCCAGGAGGAAUGGCUGAUGAGGAGCCGAGGCUGGCUGUGCCAGACACUUUGCCGUUUAAAUAUCCCCAGUCUCAGAUGCCACAACAGACCCAGAUGUCAGCGCGGCCCCGGACCUGCAGAACAGCGCAUGGGAGAAU
rnacentral:lncRNA from 1 species